GUGCCAGCCGCCGCGGUAAUACGUAGGGGGCGAGCGUUGUCCGGAAUUACUGGGCGUAAAGCGCACGUAGGUGGUACGUCAAGUUCGGCGUGAAAUCUCCAGGCUCAACUUGGAGGGGUCGUCGAAGACUGGCGAACUAGGGUCUGGCAGAGGCAGGUAGAAUUCCCGGUGGAGCGGUGAAAUGCGUAGAGAUCGGGAGGAAUACCAGUGGCGAAGGCGGCCUGCUGGGCCACGACCGACACUGAGGUGCGAAAGCGUGGGGAGCGAACCGGAUUAGAUACCCGGGUAGUCCACGCCCUAAACGAUGGGUACUAGGCGUGGGGGGUAUCGACCCCCUCUGUGCCGAAGCUAACGCGAGAAGUACCCCGCCUGGGGAGUACGGCCGCAAGGUUGAA
rnacentral:rRNA from 1 species